rnacentral:rRNA from 1 species
CAAUAGCGUAUAUUUAAGUUGUUGCAGUUAAAAAGCUCGUAGUUGGAUUUCGGGUAGGAUUUGCCGGUCCGUCUUUGAGAUGUGUACUGGUAAGUCCUAUCUUCUUGUCGGGGACCAGCUCCUGGGCUUCACUGUCCGGGACUGGGAGCCGACGAAGUUACUUUGAGUAAAUUAGAGUGUUCAAAGCAAGCCUACGCUCUGAAUAUAUUAGCAUGGAAUAACACGAUAGGACUCUGGCUUAUCUUGUUGGUCUGUGAGACCAGAGUAAUGAUUAAGAGGGACAGUCGGGGACAUUCGUAUUUCAUUGUCAGAGGUGAAAUUCUUAGAUUGCCGAAAGACAAACUGCUGCGAAAGCGUCUGCCAAGGAUGUUUUCAUUGA